rnacentral:lncRNA from 1 species
CGCGCACGACCGGAGCCGGCGGCCCCGUCCGGCGUCCCGAGGGCUUGCUCGCGCGGAGGAAGAGGUCGGGCUGGAUAUGGAGAGGGAAUCGACAGGCCUCGCGACGAGGCGCGGGGAUCGAGGAGCGGAACGAAGAGCAGACGCUGCGGAAUCGGAGGACGUCGAUGCAGGUGUCGAGCCGAUCGCCGAUCAUGGAGAGAAUGUCCAUAGGAAGGCUGGACCAUGGGCGCCUUUCGAUUGGAUCCAUGGGAGCUCUCCUGCGUUUUCUGCACAAGCGAUUGCAGAUGUUGCCGGGAGAAGAAGAAGAAGAAGGAAUCGUCGCGCGGAACGAAGAGCUCUCCGCUGUGGAAUUGGGAAUUCUAGGGAUUCUGCGACUCCGGUGAGUUUACUUUUUCCCUU